UACGUAGGGACCGAGCGUUGUCCGGAUUCAUUGGGCGUAAAGGGUGCGUAGGUGGCGCGCUAAGUCAGGUGUGAAAUUUCGGAGCUUAACUCCGAAACUGCAUUUGAUACUGGCGUGCUUGAGGACUGGAGAGGAGACUGGAAUUCAUGGUGUAGCAGUGAAAUGCGUAGAGAUCAUGAGGAAGACCAGUGGCGAAGGCGGGUCUCUGGACAGUUCCUGACACUGAGGCACGAAGGCCAGGGGAGCAAAACGGGG
rnacentral:rRNA from 1 species